UUCACGGUAAUGCAGUGAAUCCAUUAUAAAUUGAUCUCUGAAUAUGACAUAUUAGUAUAAAAUUGAUCAUAAUCAUAUUGUCACAAAAUUAUCCAUUACCUUCCUUCGCGUCUCUUUCAAGCUCAUCUUCAUGGUUCCUUCUCUGCAAUUAAUUAAAGCAGCAGCUUCAAAUAAAUUGUGUCCGACUUGAAGUGUAAAUACAGGGAAAGAACCAAAGACUUACUUGUAAAUUAUAAAGCACAA
rnacentral:lncRNA from 1 species